GGAGAUCCCUGUCAAGGAAACACACAAAGUUGUGCGCACAGAGGAUGAAGAUGGGAACAAGAUGGUUAACGAAUAUGUCCGUGAACACAAAAUUGGUGCUGGUAGCUACGGUAAAGUGGUACUUUAUCGAAGUUGCACUGAUGGAAAACAUUAUGCCAUUAAGGCCUUUCACAAGUCUCACUUAUCAAAGAUGCGGGUGGCGCCUUCAGAAACUGCUAUGGGUGAUGUUCUUCGUGAGGUUUCGAUCAUGAAAAUGCUGUGCCAUCCCAAUAUAGUUAAUCUUGUUGAGGUGAUUGAUGAUCCAGAAACAGAUAACUUCUACAUGGUUCUCGAGUACGUGGAAGGAAAAUGGGUUUGUGAAGAUUCUGGUCCCCCGUGUGUUCUUGAAGAAAAUAAAGCACGGCUGUACUUGCGUGAUAUAGUGUCUGGCUUGAUGUAUCUGCAUUCUCAUAAUAUCAUACAUGGGGAUAUUAAGCCAGACAAUCUUUUAGUGUCUGCUGCUGGUAAGGUGAAGAUUGGUGAUUUCAGCGUCAGCCAAGUUUUUGAGGAUGAUAAUGAUAAACUCCGUCGAUCUCCUGGCACUCCUGUUUUCACUGCUCCUGAAUGCUGCGUAGGAGAUAGAUAUCAUGGAAAAUGUGCUGACACGUGGGCGGUUGGUGUUACCCUUUAUUGCAUGAUCUUGGGAAAAUACCCGUUUCUAGGAGAAACUCUCCAGGAUACAUAUGACAAGAUAGUAAAUAACCCCAUCAUUCUCCCCGACGAUAUGAAUCCGUUACUGAAGAAUUUAUUAGAGGGGCUUCUCUGCAAAGAUCCAACACAAAGGCUAACUCUCGAAAGUGUUUGUCAACACGAGUGGUUCCUAGGAGAUGAAGGCCCCAUCCCUCAGUUCUCGUGUUGGUGCCAGCGCCAAAAGUUGCAGAAAGACGUACAGGAUGGGAGCGCAGAGGAUACCCCUACUUGAACUAACUGCAGAGUGUUUCUAGUAUGUUUAUAACGUUCCGUUCUCUCUUCUCAGUUCUUGUAGGAAGAUAAACUAGGAUGUCUUUUUUUCCCCGGCAAAUUGCAUCUUGCAGGAGCAAUCGGAUACAUGUUAUGUGAACGAUAGUAGAAAAUGAGGUGUUCGAGUAAAUUUUGUUUGGUUUCUGUCAUACUCCGAGAGUACUCGUUCAGUUGUAAUGGCAGCGAGACAUCGCGAUAUGUUUUCGUUGUUUUUUUUGUUGGUAAUGAUGGUACAAGUUUUGUGUUUUGAUGCUUAGAAGAAAGCCAACAUAUUUGUUUUUGUGGAUAUU
rnacentral:misc_RNA from 1 species